UUUCUGGGAAUGUAUAGUAAAAAAUACAAUUUUGAUUAUUCUUUAUUUAAUCUAUUCAAAUUUUAAAAAUAAAAAAAACUUAGUCAAAAAGCUGAAAAAUACUUUGUCAGUGUUGCAUCCCUAUUUGAAGCUUUUUAUUUUCAGAAAUUUGGAUUUAAUAGUCUCUAACUGUAAAAUACUUGUAGGAGGCAUAAUGAAAUAAAGGUUAGGUUAAUAAAAAAAAUGACAAUAUGUCUAAAAUACUGACAAUGUUAACUUUACCCAUUCUAAAAUGUCUUGUACUAUAUAUUUACUAGUGCUGAUUCAUUUUAUUUUACAAGGAAUUACGUUAUUAUUCAACUAAUGCUUGUUUUUUGUUUUAAAACAAUGGCUUUCGUUUUUCUGUCUGGGUUGGAAGAAAGUUUAUUUUUUGUAAAAAAAGAUUUGUGUUUUAUUUGUUAUUCAAAUGUGUUUUUAUUUUUUCAAGCAUUUGUGUUUAAUGCUUAUUAUAUUAUUACAUACAUAUUUUUUUUUUAAUAUUUCGCAUCUGAGAGAAAAAAUUUUAAAUCGCAUUUGUUUUGAAAAUAUAAAAAUAAAUUAUUUACGUAGAACUUGCAACCUUAGGAGCCCCCAAAUGGUUUCUUUUUUUUUUGCUGUUUGCAAAAGCAAAUGUUGCAAACAUUCUUGCCAAUCCAUUAGUUGAACAUGCAGCUUUCUACAACUGUUAAAUAAUAAAAACCAAAUUCUCAUCGAUGUUUUUUUUAUAGACUUAACUACCAGGAUAAUGGUAAAAAAUCAGUAUACUUUAGUCUUUCUAAUUCUCUAAAUGAAAGCUUAACAUUUGCCGCUUUAGCAAUGAAAAUUUUUUUCUACCUUUUUUUUUCUGUUCAGUAAUUCUAUUAAUUACAUCAAAUAUAUAAGACAGAAUUAUAAUAGCUUUGUUAUAAUAUUAUGAUAAUAGCUUUGUAAAAAUAUUAGGAACUGAACUGGCUUUAGGAAAUUACCAAAAGCAAAUGCAUAAAAUCAAAUAUUUUUCUAUAAAAAGAUCUUUAGUUCAUUACACAAAUAUAGUAAAUAAUCGUGCACUUUAUUUGGAAAUUUCCAUUAAUUGUGAACAUUUGGUAUUAAUUUAUAACAGUUGUUUUUAACUAUUUUUGAGUUUUGUUUGAUAAAUGCUUGGGUAUGUGAAAAAUUAUGAUACACAGUAGUAUCUAAAAAAAUAAUUUAAGGCUAAGUUUAUUUUGUAAAAAUGGAGCUCAGCACUGUUAUCAUCCUUUGUCAUCAAUAAACUAUCACACUCCAGUCCAUCUAUUAUAUAUUAAUGUUAUAAGAACCAUUUAAUAAAUAUUUUCCUAUUAA